rnacentral:lncRNA from 1 species
GUAUAAUUUAACUUUAUAUACGUUUGCCUCUUAUUUUUAUACACUGAAGAGAAGCUAUAUAUGUUUGGAUUGUUAACAAAUGUGCUUAUUUCUUGCCACUUUGAAAAUUAUGCUAUAAAGGACAUGUAAUAAGUAUAGAAUGCUGUGGAAGGGUUGUGAAAAGGAGAUUUUAUUUAUCAUGGCCAAAGCUGGCUAAGGUUUGAUCAGUUUAUUUAUGAGAUUUUCAUGGUCUUUGAGCUAUUUUUACACCUCUCUGUAAAUUGUAGGUGAUGGAUAUGCGAACUUUGUCUUUUCUGGUAGAGAUUAACUGACUUCCUACCUCCCUGUGGAAAACCCGGGUUGGUACCUACUUGCAAGUUGGACUGAAUCCUGUUACCUUGCCCAAAUUUUCACUUCUUCCAGAUUCCUUCGAUAUGUGGCUACAACUUUCCAAAUUAACUUUUUUGGUUUAUCGCCCGCUGCCCCAAUGGCAUUCCUGAGGACCAAAACCCCUCUAUGUCCCUAUUGGGACCUUAGGUUGCCAUGCAGUUGGCCAUUUUUCCUAGGAUUUGACAAAGGCCUGCAAACCGAAGCUGGACAACUUGAUAUAAAUCUGGAAGGACUCACCAUCACUGCAGACCAUGCAUGAGAAGGAAUGAUGUUCCUUGUGCCCAGGAAGCUAGGGAGACGUAUGAGAAGAAAGGAUGGCCUGUUAUGUGUAGGCAAGUAUGCCUUUAGAGAGCCUCCCAGUUUCCUGCCUGUAACUCAGUGCACCACUGAACUUGCUGAAUCAUUCCUGAGAGAUCAAAACUGGCACAGAUGUAGGAAUGAAACCCACAGGCUCUAAAGGAGAUUUCAGAUAUGAAUGGAGAAUAAUUUAGAAACCUGAGUGGGCAGGCAAUUGAGGGCCCAAAGAACCACUGGACAUCUCAACAGAUUCCAGCUCAGGGACAUAAACUCAUAGAUCAAAUGCACUAUCGACUCUCACUUAACACUUAGAAGCACCUCUUGGGAAAAGCAGACAUGACCAAAUGGACAUGCUCUGUUUUAGCUCUGUUUUGACUUACCACCAGAUAGGAUGAUAGCUCAAAACAGAAAUUACAUACAGUUAUAGAAAAGAAAGAUAUUUGUAGAUUAUUUGAACCCAUUAUACAUGUUAAGUCGCUACCCUUCAAUUGGAUGCAAAAGCAAAACACAAUACAACCCCAAAUCUUUACACUACAGUGAUCAAGGCUGGGGGAUGUAAGAGAUACAGCAAUCAGUGUGCAGAGUGAGAACAGAAUUGCCUGGGCUUGAGGCUCUAGUGACCUAAUGUGAGCCUGUGUUGGUAGAGUCCUGGUGGCCACAGCUAGUGCAGUUCUGACUCUGGGGAGAGGUCAGGUGACCUGACCUUGACCUUCACGUUUAUGACAAUUUGAGAUGUCACAUCAAUUUUUCUAACUGGGAAGCAGAAAAGUGAUACAGGGCUGUAUUAGUGCAAUCUUUCUCAUGCAAUAUGAAAAUAAGCAAGAAUUCGGGAAAAGUUUUGUUACUUGUGACUUAUUUCUUGUGUAUGAGACCACACUGCUUCAGAGUGAAGCCUUCCUGUUUCUCACUAAAUUCCCAGCCCCCCCCCUUUUUUUUUUUUCUGUGUGAGGGAGUGGGGGCAGGUGAGGAGGAGGGACACAGGGACACAGCUGGCUAUUGGUCAAAGUUAAAACCAACAUUCCUGACAGUGGAGUUCUGAGCUCUGCACAAGCUCUUCAGGAUGUGUUCCUGGACUAAGUGCCAAGGACUACUCCUGGGACUAAGAAAACUCCAGUGGGCUGUCCUCAUCACAUCAGACUCCCAUGGAUGUCAUGUAUCUUAUCUAAAGCCAGAGCAAGGCACAUGGGAUCAGGACCCACAGAGGCACGAAGGACACUUCCAUCCCUUCCUCUCCCUCUUCUCCAACAGUCCACACCAAGUCCCACUUGAAGGAAAAGACAUACCAGAUGACUGGGGUAUUCAAAAGAGGUUUAGAUCGUAGGAGAAGGUAACUCAGCCUCCUCCAACUUAGAAAAUGUCUACAGAAAGCCUGACAAGGGAGAAAGAACCAAAAGAAGGCCAGAAAGAUACCUAAUGGAUUCUUCUUUCUCCAUAGUGACCUGAUGGAGACAGCCAUUCCACUCAGCCUCAUCCAAGGACAUGGGGACACAACAAGGGACCUCACGAGAUCGCUUUACAGACCAGUUGGUCCGGAGGCACAUUUCUUCUGCAGGGAUUGGCAAGGAAGAUUUCAGUCUUCAAGGUAGAUUUUUCACUAUAAACAUUGAUAUGACUUUAUCCUUUCAGGUCAGAGUCUAUCAUUGCCUUAAUUCUUUUAAAACCAGAUGGGGAAAUUGUAAAUUGAAAUAUAAUGUUUAUGAAGAGCAUUAUAUUUGGCCUGAAGGCUGUGAGAGGUAGGGUGAAAAUGUUUUUAUGAAUCCCUGGAACUUGAAGUUUAUCUUAAUCCCUUACCCUCUGUCCAGGUCUGUUGCUGGGCCUGGGCAAUGGAUGCGUUUUUCAGUAAUAAAGAGAAGAAUUUGAAGUUCCAACAGAUGAUUCAGGAAAUGAGGAAAGAUGACUAGGGGGUGGGUGCUACAUAAAGAAGGAAUUUGAAGACAGCAGGAAUAUCUCAAAAUGGACUUUGGCAUGACUGUUAUAAAUUCUUCCUCUAACUCCUCUACAGAAUCUUUAAUAAAGUCUACAAUGCUCUUUUGUACAUUUGUGCGAGUGAAUUCUCUUAGGCAUUGACUUUCAUGUCAGGUUGGGUCAUUCUUGGUGCAACACAAAGGCGGCACUGGAGGGAAACAAAGUGUGGAGGCAAAUGGGCCACGAGACUUUAAGUCCUCAGGAAACAGAUGUCAGGGGUGGGGGAAUGGUUUCCCCAGGCUGUGAAACGGAGAUGUGAGGCUUGUGUUUGGCUGCAACUUGUGGGUCCAGCAGGCUCUAGCUGACCAGAACUACAACAUGAUAAAUUGUCAUUUCAAUCCUUCACUGGCUACCCAUUGUCUAAGUCCAUACUCCUUGGCAGGAGAGGUGCUGCUCCUCCAAACUUUCUUCCUUCAAACAUUUUUUCCAUUUUCCUCUAAAAAUGGCAACAGUUCCCUUUCACAGAUUCAAUAGCUAAGACUGGAAUUUUCAAAACAACUAAGUAUUGGAGAGUAAAAGGGGAAAAAAAGUAUAAAUCAUUUAAAUGAUGCUACCUCCUGCAAUAGGGCUCUGAGUCUUUGUAUGGAUGAUACAUAAAGCCCUUUCAAAUCUGGCCUGCCACCUCUCCAUUGUCAUUUCUCCCAUACACUGCCUUGCCACUGCAUGCUACAGCAUUACCAUUUGCAAGAAACCUAAAUGACGACACUCUAACCCCACCAAGGAAAACAAAUUACUCUUCUCUGUCUCUUCCGAGCAUAGCAUUCCAGAUCAUUUUGCAUAAAUAUUUAUUGACAUGCUUGGCUCUCCUAAAAGAUUUUGUGAGUUUCCAACCCCAGAACCCACUGAGUGCUUAAAAAGUAGUAGAAUCUCAAUGAAUGUUUGUUGAAUUAAAACGAUUCCAAAGAUUGAUGUUAAAACAGAAAAGGAACAGACAGACAGAGUUGGAACGGCAAUUCUGCCACUUACUGGCUUGACAACUUUGGACCAGUUCCUUAAUCUCUCAGUGUCAACUGCUUCAUCCAUCAAUAAUGGUACUUUGUAGAGAGAAGGUGAAAGCAUAUAAAGUAUCUGGUCCCAGUGGUCGCUCUUAAUUAGUAGGCCAGGGGCUUCCCAGAUUUUUCAUUAUCAGCAAUGAAAUAUUUCAUAGAACCAGAUAAGAGCAGAGCUACUGUAACUUAGGGGUGCAGCCUCAGAGCCCCACCUGCUUAGCUACACCCACAUCUUGACCUACUCACUCCCACCCCAGAAGAACCCCAGGACUCCCAGAGCAUGGAGUAAAAUCUACUGUCUUAAAACAGCAUGGGAGGCAUACAACUAGUAGUAUGUGAGAUGAUUUUAAGUGGC